GAGUUUGAUCAUGGCUCAGAACGUACGCUGGCGGCACGCCUAACACAUGCAAGUCGAACGAAGUAGUAAUACUUAGUGGCAGACGGGUGAGUAACAUGUAGGUAUCUGCCCUUUGGCCUGGAAUAACACGAGGAAACUUGUGCUAAUACCGGAUAAGUCUUUACGGAGAAAGCUUUAUGCACCAUUGGAUGAGCCUGCACUUGAUUAGUUUGUUGGUGGGGUAAUGGCCUACCAAGACUGUGAUCAAUAGCUGAUUUGAGAGGAUGAUCAGCCACAUUGGGACUGAGACACGGCCCAAACUCCUACGGGAGGCAGCAGUGGGGAAUCUUGCACAAUGGAGGAAACUCUGAUGCAGCGAUGCCGCGUGAGUGAAGAAGGCCCUUGGGUUGUAAAGCUCUUUCGUCGGGGAAGAAAAUGACUGUACCCGAAUAAGAAGGUCCGGCUAACUUCGUGCCAGCAGCCGCGGUAAUACGAAGGGACCUAGCGUAGUUCGGAAUUACUGGGCUUAAAGAGUUCGUAGGUGGUUGAAAAAGUUGGUGGUGAAAUCCCAGAGCUUAACUCUGGAACUGCCAUCAAAACUUUUCAGCUAGAGUAUGAUAGAGGAAAGCAGAAUUUCUAGUGUAGAGGUGAAAUUCGUAGAUAUUAGAAAGAAUACCAAUUGCGAAGGCAGCUUUCUGGAUCAUUACUGACACUGAGGAACGAAAGCAUGGGUAGCGAAGAGGAUUAGAUACCCUCGUAGUCCAUGCCGUAAACGAUGUGUGUUAGACGUUGGAAAUUUAUUUUCAGUGUCGCAGCGAAAGCGAUAAACACACCGCCUGGGGAGUACGACCGCAAGGUUAAAACUCAAAUGAAUUGACGGGGACCCGCACAAGUAGUGGAGCAUGUGGUUUAAUUCGAAGAUACGCGCAGAACCUUACCAACACUUGACAUGUUCGUCGCGACUUUAAGAGAUUAAAGUUUUCGGUUCGGCCGGACGAAACACAGGUGCUGCAUGGCUGUCGUCAGCUCGCGUCGUGAGAUGUUGGGUUAAGUCCCGCAACGAGCGCAACCCUCACUUUUAGUUGCCAUCAUUAAGUUGGGCACUCUGAAAGAACUGCCAGUGAUAAGCUGGAGGAAGGUGGGGAUGACGUCAAGUCCUCAUGGCCCUUACGUGUUGGGCUACACACGUGCUACAAUGGUAUCUACAACAGGAAGCAAGACUGCGAAGUUAAGCAAAUCCUCAAAAGAUACCUCAGUUCGGAUUGCACUCUGCAACUCGAGUGCAUGAAGCUGGAAUUACUAGUAAUCGUGGAUCAGCGUGCCACGGUGAAUGCGU
rnacentral:rRNA from 1 species